rnacentral:rRNA from 1 species
UCGAACGGUAACAGGAAGAAGCUUGCUUCUUUGCUGACGAGUGGCGGACGGGUGAGUAAUGUCUGGGAAACUGCCUGAUGGAGGGGGAUAACUACUGGAAACGGUAGCUAAUACCGCAUAACGUCGCAAGACCAAAGAGGGGGACCUUCGGGCCUCUUGCCAUCGGAUGUGCCCAGAUGGGAUUAGCUAGUAGGUGGGGUAACGGCUCACCUAGGCGACGAUCCCUAGCUGGUCUGAGAGGAUGACCAGCCACACUGGAACUGAGACACGGUCCAGACUCCUACGGGAGGCAGCAGUGGGGAAUAUUGCACAAUGGGCGCAAGCCUGAUGCAGCCAUGCCGCGUGUAUGAAGAAGGCCUUCGGGUUGUAAAGUACUUUCAGCGGGGAGGAAGGGAGUAAAGUUAAUACCUUUGCUCAUUGACGUUACCCGCAGAAGAAGCACCGGCUAACUCCG